AGUGAACGCUGGCGGUAGGCCUAACACAUGCAAGUCGAACGGCAGCACAGUAAGAGCUUGCUCUUACGGGUGGCGAGUGGCGGACGGGUGAGGAAUACAUCGGAAUCUACUUUUUCGUGGGGGAUAACGUAGGGAAACUUACGAUAAUACCGCAUACGACCUACGGGUGAAAGCAGGGGAACUUCGGACCUUGCGCGAUUGAAUGAGCCGAUGUCGGAUUAGCUAGUAGGCGGGGCAAAGGCCCACCAAGGCGACGAUCCGUAGCUGGUCUGAGAGGAUGAUCAGCCGCACUGGGACGGAGACACGGCACAGAGGCCUUCGGGAGGGAGCGGUGGGGAAUAUUGGGCCAUGGGCGCAAGCCUGAUCCAGCCGUGCCGCGUCGGUGAAGAAGGCCUUCGGGUUGUAGAGCCCUUUUGUUGGGAAAGAAAAGCAGUAGGUUAAUACCCCGCUGUUCUGACGGUACCCAAAGAAUAAGCACCGGCUAACUUCGUGC
rnacentral:rRNA from 1 species